UGUGGCUCAGUGGUAGUGGAUCUGCUUUGAAUGCAGAAGGUUCCAAGUUCAAUCCCUGGCAUGAAAA